AACGAACGCUGGCGGCGUGCCUAACACAUGCAAGUCGAACGUGAUUAGAGAGCUUGCUCUCUAUGAAAGUGGCGCACGGGUGAGUAACGCGUAGAUAAUCUACCUGAUGAUUCGGGAUAACACUUCGAAAGGGGUGCUAAUACCGAAUAAGCCCACGGAGUCCUUGGACUCUGCGGGAAAAGGGGGGGACCUUCGGGCCUUCCGUCAUCAGAUGAGUCUGCGUACCAUUAGCUAGUUGGUAGGGUAAAGGCCUACCAAGGCGACGAUGGUUAGCUGGUCUGAGAGGAUGAUCAGCCACACUGGAACUGAGACACGGUCCAGACUCCUACGGGAGGCAGCAGUGGGGAAUUUUGCGCAAGGGGGGAAACCCUGACGCAGCAACGCCGCGUGAGUGAUGAAGGCCCUUGGGUCGUAAAGCUCUGACAGAGGGAAAGAAAUACAGGGGAGCUAAUAUCUCCCUUGCUUGACGGUACCCUCAAAGGAAGCACCGGCUAACUCCGUGCCAGCCGCCGCCGUAACAC
rnacentral:rRNA from 1 species